rnacentral:rRNA from 1 species
GAUCAUGGCUCAGGAUGAACGCUAGCGACAGGCUUAACACAUGCAAGUCGAGGGGCAGCAUGAUUUGUAGCAAUACAGAUUGAUGGCGACCGGCGCACGGGUGAGUAACGCGUAUGCAACUUACCUAUCAGAGGGGGAUAGCCCGGCGAAAGUCGGAUUAAUACCCCAUAAAACAGGGGUCCCGCAUGGGAAUAUUUUGUUAAAAGAUUCAUCGCUGAUAGAUAGGCAUGCG